GGGCGGAUGGUGAAAUUGGUAGACACGCAAGCUUGAGGGGCUUGUGGCCGCAAGGCCGUGGAGGUUCAAAUCCUCUUUCGCCCACCA
rnacentral:tRNA from 1 species